AAUGCGAUACCAAUGUUCUGUUUGUACUGUUUGACCUACGAAUACCGGUCACUCGAGCUUUAGUUCGCAAUCCGCAACUUCUAGCUGCAUUGGGUCUGGGUCAUUUUACAAAUUUCCCAAUCUGCUCCAGGACCAGCCACUCCACGAAGAUAAACAAACAAACCAACAAAAACAAAAAAUAGAUCGAGUUUAAAAGACGGACAACCCAUAUCGCCAUUAAGACCUUAACACAUUCCUUAUAUAAUUAUCUCCCCCAUAGAUAAUUAUUGUUCUUGAUAAUGAUUGGGUCUUGCAUGGACAAAUGUCAAAAGCUAUAGUUAGGAGCUAUAAUCGAUCCAACGCGCGUAGUUAACUUAAUUUUCCACACUUCGGGCUUUACACUAGUCGAGUUGUUCCUGGUUAAAGUCCAAAAUGGCUGUUAAUAUUCAUAUAAAAUUUUGUGGAGCCUGAGGAUAUAGAGCAAAGUAUGAUCAUCUCCGUGAUCGUCUGCUCAAUGCCUUCAAGCCUGGACUAGUGACAGUGACAGGCGAAGGAGACCCUCAAUAUAUGGGUUGGUUUGAAGUGUUUUUGAAUGACGAACUUAUCCAUUCCAAAAAGAACGGCGAGGGCUUUGUUGACAGUCCAGAGAAAUGGCAGAAAAUAAUCCGCACCAUUAACAAGGUCAUGAAUUAGUUUCAAUACAAAUGGCUGUCUUGAUUUGUCGAGCAGUCAGACAGUUGAACAAGACAGAGGACGACGCUUAAUGAUGACUGGCUUUGAUUAAAAAAAUGGAACGGUCAAGGUCAUGAUAGACUAAAGGCGUUUUUGUUUUCUAAGAUCGACUGAUUGAGGAAUGAUUGCUGUAGCGCUAGGCUAUUAUUACUUUUUUAAAAUAAAUAUAUAUGUAUGUAAUUAUGUAACAAUACUCUGAAUUACUCUGCAUGUACAAUGAAGUUAUAUGACUUGAGUUGGUUAAUAAAGUCAAACACUUAUUGAA
rnacentral:sRNA from 1 species